rnacentral:snoRNA from 1 species
CAGUAGUAAUGAUGAGUUUGUUAUCCCUGUCUGAAUAUAAUCUGUGUGGAAACCAAAGGUAUCUGACUUACUA